rnacentral:rRNA from 1 species
ACGGCUCAGUAACACGUAGUCAAUCUACCCUAUGGACGGGGAUAACCUCGGGAAACUGAGGAUAAAACCCGAUAGAUCAUAGUGCCUGGAACGGCUUAUGGUCCAAAUGAUUCGUCGCCGCAGGAUGGGACUGCGGCCUAUCAGCUUGUUGGUGAGGUAAUGGCCCACCAAGGCUAUUACAGGUACGGGCUCUGAGAGGAGAAGCCCGGAGAUGGGUACUGAGACACGGACCCAGGCCCUAUGGGGCGCAGCAGGCGAGAAACCUUUGCAAUGUGCGCAAGCACGACAAGGUUAAUCCGAGUGUUUCCUGCUAAAGGAAUCUUUUGUUAGUUCUAAAACCACUGAUGAAUAAGGGGUGGGCAAGUUCUGGUGUCAGCCGCCGCGGUAAAACCAGCACCUCAAGUGGUCAGGAGGAUUAUUGGGCCUAAAGCAUCCGUAGCCUGUUCUAUAAGUUUCCGGUUAAAUCCAUUAGCUUAACUAAUGGGCUGCCGAAAAUACUGUAGAACUAGGGAGUGGGAGAGGUAGACGGUACUCGGUAGGAAGGGGUAAAAUCCUUUGAUCUAUUGAUGACCACCUGUGGCGAAGGCGGUCUACCAGAACACGUUCGACGGUGAGGGAUGAAAGCUGGGGGAGCAAACCGGAUUAGAUACCCGGGUAGUCCCAGCUGUAAACGAUGCAGACUCGGUGAUGCGCUGGCUUGUGGCCAGUGCAGUGCCGCAGGGAAGCCGUUAAGUUUGCCGCCUGGGAAGUACGUACGCAAGUAUGAGACUUAAAGGAAUUGGCGGGGGAGCAC